UUUUAGAACAGCGCCUGCAGUACAUAUGUACAAAUGUUACUACCCAAUUUCAGCGAUUUAGUUAAAUACUUUCUCCUCGAUGGGAUUUCGUCAGUAACAAGAUAAAAGCUGUGUAUUUAGGUCCAGCUACCUUUCAGAAGUGUCCAAUGCUUAGAUGAAGCCCACCGACCGGUUGAAAGCAACGCAAGUUUUCUGAAAGCCGCGGUGACCUUAAAAAUCAGAUUAGGGCUGAUGUCCCGAAGUGUCCAACGCUUCAGGGGUUCACACUCGAUGUAGUUACAGUCGUAUUCAGGAAAAACAUACUCCCACCAGGCGGCCAGGAGAAGAUAUUGUAUUGAAUGACAUACACAUUUUAGUACCAUGCGGUUUGGAACACAUUUUUGAGUCAGAAUGUACGCCGCGAGUGGUUACUGUCAUCAUACCUACUAUUAGCUGUUCUUCUUUUGUGAAGAAGGUUUUAAAUGGGAAUAUAAACCGUAUAAAACCAGGAGUGGGGAUAAUAUGAGGCUGUGUAUACAUUUAUCUUUGCAAACUGUAACGUUAUCUGGAUGUUGUCCACAUAAACAUUGUGUAAACGCGCUUCUGAUCAGAAUGUUAUCAGCCCAUCUGCGUGUUCUGAUCCAGAGGUAGACGAGGGCGCAUUGUGAUCGGAUCUCAGUGUAAUGUAAACGGAAUUCAGCCAGAUUUUCUUCAUUUUCCGGUACAACUUCACAGAAAACCCCGCACACUAUCAUUAUCUCGUCUGUCCGACAGCAGAGCAGAAGACAAGUAAGCCUUCACCGGAAAGUUUACUCUUGCAGAGGCUAUUUGUGACUGCCAUGAACGGGUUUUAACAGAAAUGUUCCCUCCGGUUAAUAGAUGUGUAAAAACGGCAAUUGCUUGAAUAAAUGUUGCUCAUUAUCUUUCUUAAUAAAAACACACAAAACUACAAAUAAAGUGCAAUGACAUUUGCUUAUAUUAAAAGCACAGACGUUACGAAACAAAUAAUCACACAACACAUCAAGCCAAAAAAUAAUAAGAAACGAAAAUAUUUUUUUAUGUUAGAUAGCCUAUCUUACAAUAAUGUAUAAUAUAAUCAUUUAUCCCCUAAACACAGAGGAUGUCUACCCGACAAACCCAGUGAACACUCAGACCUCCUUUCCUCUAUUCAUACUCCUGACUGCUCCAUCUGUCAAUGAGUGAUCGUGGGAAAUGGCAUACUGUGUUGGUAUUAUAAAGCGAAUCUGAAUUUUGUUGUCGCAAUUAAAUGUAAUCUGCUUACAUGUAAUGUCAAAAUAUUUUGGUGCGGUGCGUUAUUGCCAACAAAUAAAUAGCCUAAAAAACAAUGGAAUACGAACAAAAACGUUUAUGUUAAUAAAUGAUGGGAAUACGAAACAAAAUGUUUAUGUUAAAUAAAUAAAUAAAUAAAUAGGCUAACAAACGAAGAAAGGCCUAUGAAACUAAAAACUUUGUUUAAUAGAUGGCAAAGCACCGGCUUUUAAAAAUUAUACCAAAUAAAAUUCAUAGUUAAGUGACAUGUGCACUGCUUACAUUCUACUGCAUGUGUUUAACAGAACAGCCUCCGCCAUCAUCUUCUCAAUCAGCACUUCACUCUCCUCACGCGACGGAUAAAGUCUGACUCAUGAGCAACAGUUUGGUCUUUAACUAAAUUAAGUGACAAUUACUAUAAACAUGCAAAAUGACGGUGAAGUCAGUGCCGGUGGACAAAUGAUGUAAUCUAUAGACGAGUGGACAUCACCGGUGACACAGACUAUCGCAACAAGUCUGCACUGCGGCGUUUUAAACGCAUCAUUUGAUUAUUUUCAUCACAGACAAGAAUACACUCUAAAAAAUGCUGGGUUAUUUGUUUAACCCAACAGCUGGGUUGAGCCUGUUGGGUCAUUUUGUUGGGUUAUUUUCUUAGUGUUGGGUCAUUUUACGAGUAACCCAAACGCUGGGUUACCAGUCUGGUCCAAUUGAGUGACAGUUGAGAGAGUAAACCCCUCCCACUCCUCUACGCAUCAGACAAACUUUACCUUCGCGGGCAUUUUGAUCCACUUCAUCUCGGAAAGCUGUUAUUCGGAGAAUAAAAGAUCCCACUCUUCUUUCCCCCCCCACUGACAGGUUGCAGAAUGACAGCUAAAAUUAAUGGAUCAUUCUAUUCAAGAGAAUGUCAACUGGAACGUGGAUGUUUUCAUAACAGGCUUAAAGAUGAACAAAUUGAUAAAGAAACCCUCCUGCUGGACAUCCACUUCCAAAAGUGCACACCACACUGUUGUCUACAACUCCCAGGAAAAGAAUCCUCUUUAGUAAGACUGCUCCGUGGAUAUGUCAGGUUAAGCAGUGCUGAAACCGAAAGAACUAACACUAUUUAAAAUGUUUUGUGAGUUUAUAUGAAGAGGAAAGUUACGGUGUCCCUUUUUCACAUCCAUAACGCUUGUUUAUUUCUUUUUUUAUAGAAAACUUGUGCAUAGACUUAUAUUUUAACAUAUAAAUGCAGUUCUAUUAACAAGGGUUUAGUAAAAUACUUUUUAUAGCGUUUUGAAGUGUUAAGUUGUCUAACUAUUUAUAUUUACUUGUGCCACUUUAAUAACCUUGUUAAAUGUAUAUGUUAAAAUCUAAACUAAUGUAAUUUAUUGAAAUUAAUGUUCUUUAAAUAUGUAUAAACAUACAUUUCAUCAAAGUGUUUUAUAUGCCAUUUUAUUGUUCAUUGAGCAUAACAUAUUGCAUGUUUUUAUGAAUUCCUUUUGUCUUGCAUUUUGAUCCUUAAUAAAACUAUUGAUUCUUA